AUGGGGCUCCCUGGCCUGCUCAGAGCUGUCAUAGCCUCUGUCUGCCUUGGUAAGGCUGGAUCCAUCAUGGCCCAGAAAGUAACUCAGAAUCGGUCAGAAAUUUCUGUGCUGGAGAAGGAGGAUGUAACCUUGAAUUGUGCAUAUGAAGCUAAUAGUUAUACUUAUUAUUUAUUCUGGUACAAGCAACCACCAAGUAGGGAAAUGAUUUUCCUUAUUCAUCAGGAGUCUUACAAUGAGCUGAAUACAACAAAAGGUCAGUAUUUUUUGAACUUCCAGAAAGCAAUGAGUUCCAUCAGCCUCACCAUCUCAGACUUACAGCUCGAGGACUCCGCCGUGUAUUUCUGUGCUCUGAGAGACCACAGUGAUGCCGCUGCCUGA